UUCCGUAGGGUGAACCUGCGGAAGGAUCAUUAC
rnacentral:rRNA from 2 species